UAAGAGAAUGGAGAGGUUGCCAUCCACUCU
rnacentral:piRNA from 1 species